rnacentral:rRNA from 1 species
GACGAACCGUGCGAACGUUGUUCGGAAUCACUGGGCUUAAAGGGCGCGUAGGCGGCUUUGUAAGUCGGGGGUGAAAGCCUGUGGCUCAACCACAGAAUUGCCUUCGAUACUGCAUGGCUUGAGACCGGAAGAGGUUAGUGGAACUGCGAGUGUAGAGGUGAAAUUCGUAGAUAUUCGCAAGAACACCAGUGGCGAAGGCGGCUCACUGGCCCGGUACUGACGCUGAGGUGCGAAAGCGUGGGGAGCAAACAGG